AUAGCUUCACGGGGAGUUUUGAAGCCUAAACCAAUACUCUUAAAGUAUCGAUUCCCUCCUUUUCCUGGCCUCUUACCUUUCCCUGUCUUUUUUGAGCUGCCAAAAUAUAUAUAUAUAUACAAGAAAAAAAAGAAAAAAAAAAAAACUUAGGCUAAAAUGAAACAGUAUAUGGAGCAGUGACUUGCCAGGGAGCAGAAAAUUACCUCAGAAAAACACCAGGCUGCUUCAAAAAUGCCUUCUCCGUUUGCUCCGCCAUUGUUGAAUUGAGCUGAAAGAGUGAUGAAUUGCUGCUAAACAAAA
rnacentral:lncRNA from 1 species